rnacentral:lncRNA from 1 species
CUCCUAUAAGAGCCGUUUUAUAUGUUUUAAAAUACAUAUCCCAAAUACAUUUACAUGCACAAAGGCGCAUUACAUAGAUAUUCUGAAAAAAAGUGAAUUACAUGCAGCCCUACAAAAUUUCCUCUUACUGAUUCUGGUAUUCUUUUAUUAGCUGGUCAUGUUAGCGACAUGCAGCCUUGCAAUAUAUAUUUACCCUUACUGAAUCUGAUAUUCUUUUAAGA